GUGCUUGACUCAGGGAACAUAUUCUAAAGUUGGAUCGAUAAAAGAGAGGGCUAGCAUGGCCCCUGCACAAGGACGACACACAAAUUUGUGAAGCAUUCCAUAUUUGC